CACCUUCGGGUGGCGAGUAAAGUGGCAAACGGGUGAGUAACACGUGGGCAAUUUGCCCUCGGGUUGGGGAUAACAUUUCUAACGAAGUGCUAAUACCGAAUGACAAGGCGAGUUUAUGACUCGUUUUUAAAGGUGGCCUCUACUUGUAAGCUGCCGCCUGGGGAUGAGCCCGCGUCGUAUUAGCUUGUUGGUGGGGUAACGGCCUACCAAGGCGACGAUGCGCAGCCGGCCUGAGAGGGUGAACGGCCACACUGGAACUGAGACAAGGUCCAGUCUCCUACGGGAGCCAGCAGUCUAGAAAUUUGCACAAUCGCCGAAAGGCGGAUGCAGCGACACCACGUGGAGGAUGAAGCCGUUCGCGGUGUAAACUCCUGUCAGGAGGGAAGAAGGUGCGGAUGUUAAUACCACCCGCUACUUGACGGUACCUCCAGAGGAAGCUCCGGCUAACUACGUGCCAGCAGCCGCGGUAAUACGUAGGGAGCGAGCGUUGUUCGGAUUUACUGGGCGUAAAGAGCACGUAGGCGGGUAUGCAAGUCGGUUGUGAAAUCCUCUGGCUCAACCAGAGAACUGCAAUCGAAACUGCAUACCUUGAGUCCAACAGAGGGAAUCGGAAUCCAAGGUGUAGCGGUGAAAUGCGUAGAUAUCUUGGAGAACAUCAGUGGCGAAGGCGGAUUCCUGGGUUGGUACUGACGCUGAGGUGCGAAAGCUAAGGUAGCGAACAGGAUUAGAUACCCUGGUAGUCUUAGCCGUAAACGAUGGGUACUAGGUGUUGGGGGACAUUGNCCCCCUCAGUGC
rnacentral:rRNA from 1 species